rnacentral:rRNA from 1 species
UGCAGAGGUCUCAAGCGUUGUUCGGAUUCAUUGGGCGUAAAGGGUGCGUAGGUGGCGCCGUAAGUCGGGUGUGAAAUUUCGGAGCUUAACUCCGAAACUGCAUUCGAUACUGCGGUGCUUGAGGACUGGAGAGGAGACUGGAAUUCAUGGUGUAGCAGUGAAAUGCGUAGAGAUCAUGAGGAAGACCAGUGGCGAAGGCGGGUCUCUGGACAGUUCCUGACACUGAGGCACGAAGGCCAGGGGAGCAAACGGG